GAGAGGCGGCUUUGGCCGUGACGGCCACGGCCCUUUGUCUGCCUUCGGCCCAAGAUGGCUGCAUGUUUCCCUGCUGCUCCCUGCGUCCGGGUCUCCCCCGCCGGCGCGAGUCUGAAGGGCGCCCCACACCUGUGCCAGCUGCGUGCGCUGUCUCCCCGGAGGAAAUUAGCUGGUGGAACAAUAUUAACCGAAAGACAAAUUGUAGCAUGUGGUAAGGUCUGAAUCAAAGCAUAAAAUAGCACCUCUUGAUUUCAGUAUUAUAAAAUAAGCUUUGCUCUUGCAUAUUGGGAAUGGGUGGAAUUAGAGGCUGGAACUGUGUUGCAGUGGGACCAGCUCAGCGUGUACUCAUGUCCUGGUUGAUGAUGCCCAGAACUGACUGGCCUGAGAGCUGAGUGAAGGCUGCAAGGGUGGAGACAGGGAAGAAUAAGAGCUGUGAGUUACCUAUGAGAAGGGAUUGCUUUAAAUAGGUCAGAGACAAAGUAUUCUCUACUUAGGGUUGCCCAAACAUGGGUGUCAACGCUUCCUGCAUGACAUAUUUGUGGUCAUCACUUAACUUGUAGUGCUGUAAUAUGAAUUAAUAUGAAUUAAGUUGCUGUGCUCACCAGCUGGUCCCAUGAGCGAUGGGAACAGUGCUGAAGUCCUGUCCCAUGUCUUACCCUGGCCCCAGAUAUGCAAACGUGUCUACAAGGGAGAAGGUGUUUACCAAAAACUCACCCAGGAAACAUAAAAACUGCUAGGUAUUUGUUCUUGGUAUAUAGGCCUCAAAUAAUAUGGUGAGUAAUUUUUUUUUUAAAUAAAAAGUCUUAUAAAUUCCUGGUUUAUGGUAAGGGAUAUUACUGUUCUAGUUUCUCAUGUCUUCCUCUCACCUGCAGGAGACUUUGGCUGCUGAGUAAAAAUUAGAAGGCUGAGCCUUUCCUAAGGCUCUGAUCAGUUCACCAGGUGGCAUCACUAGGAGGGACUACCUUGCUCCUCUGAGAAGUUUUAUAUAAAUCUUUUGUUCUCAAA